rnacentral:rRNA from 1 species
AGAGAGAGACAUGCGCGCAUAUCAAUAAGCGGAGGAAAAGAAACUAACAAGGAUUCCCUUAGUAACGGCGAGUGAAGCGGGAAGAGCUCAAAUUUGAAAUCUUCAAGGUUCUACCUUGACGAAUUGUAGUUUAUAGAAGUGUUUUCUGUUAGUGGAGUGGCAAAAGUUCUUUGGAAUAGGACAUCAUAGAGGGUGAGAAUCCCGUAUUUGGUCAUUCCUCCUAGCGUUGUGAUACACUUUCAACGAGUCGGAUUGUUUGGGAAUGCAGUCCAAAAUGGGUGGUAAAUUUCAUCUAAAGCUAAAUAUUGGCGAGAGACCGAUAGCGAACAAGUACCGUAAGGGAAAGAUGAAAAGAACUUUGAAAAGAGAGUUAAACAGUACGUGAAAUUGUCAAAAGGGAAGCGUUUGACACCAGUGUUGUUUUUCCGAAAAUCAAUUACGAAUGUUUUAUUUUUGAGGAGUUAUGACUUCAUCGGCUUGCUCCUUUCUUUAUGAAACUUUCUUAAUGCACUUUUCGGUUAACAAGUCAACAUCAAUUUCUUUUGUUGUAAAAGGGUAUGAGGAAGGUGGCUUUCUUUUCGGAGAAAGUGUUUAUAGCCUUGUGCCUCUGCAAUCGGAGAGAUUGAGGUCUGCAGCGUAGAUCCUUCGGGGUUAGAUACGUUUGUGCUAAGUUAUAGCUUUUCAUAGACAACUUGUUGACUAUGUUUAGUCUUGUAGCUUACUCGCUGACGCUAUUUUACCUACGCUUAGGAUGUUGAUAGUCACAGCGUGUAC